rfam:Ovis aries breed Texel chromosome 1, whole genome shotgun sequence.
UCCCUCAUAGCUCAGUUGGUAAAGAAUCUGCCUGCAAUGCAGGAGACCCAGGUUCAUUUCCUGGGUUGGGAA